UGCAGCAAAUAAUGUUCUUUUCAUGAAUACUCACAAUUUAUAACAGUAAAUUAAAGGCUCUGAGAAGCAUCAGUUAUGAAAUUCUAAAUUAACUUGGUUUAAUCCAACAUAGGCUAAUCUCACUGAUGACAUGAACCUUUUAUGACAUAAUACCUAUGGAAUCGGUGUCGUCGUGAAGUGCUUGCUAUGUGCUAUUUUGAAAAGUCGCUUACUUUGCACAAGCACAGAUCAGAAGCAAUAAAAAAUUCAGGAAGAGAAUCAACUCUGUAGAUGAAAACAUACAUCUGAGAAGACAGAGAUAAGUUUGGCAGUCUAGUUCUUUCUCCUGUUCUGCCUUCAAUGGUAAGGAUUUAAUUCGACUCAGUGCUUUGAAAGACUGUUUUAGCAACUGUUUCUGGCUAACAAGUACAAUGCUGAUACCUAAGACUGUGCCUAUACUUGGUAAAAAUCGCUCAACCACGGCUGACAAAUGCACUUAGCUUGUUUUCCUCUAGUUUGUCUCUCUCAGAGCAGCCAUCAAGAAUGUCUUCGUUUUACCACCUUAACUCUAAGAUGACCACCAUGAAUAGGACUAAGCAAUAUUUUACAGUGGGGAGAUAUAAGAGACCAAGUUUGCAUUUUAUAGAUGGGAAAACUGGAGCCCAGAACACUUAAUGGAGUCGAACAAUAUUCCAGAUCUGGUUAUAACAGAAGAAUCAGAACUUAACCACUGUAUUCUGAUGAAAGACAAAUCAUGAUAUCUCAUUUUUUAGGCAAUGAUGAGCGGUUUUUUGUGAUCAUUAGAAUUCACUUCUAAUUUGAGAUUCCUACCAUGGGAUUUCUCAGCCUUGCUCAAAAGCCUACAGGAAGGGGGCUGGGUGAAGUGCUGUAAUCCCAGCACUUUUGGAGCUGAGGCGGGUGGAUCAUCUGAGGUCAGGAGUUUGAAACCAGACUGGCCAACACGGCAAAACCCCAUCUCUACUAAAAAUACAAAAUUAGCCAGGCAUGGUGGUACAUGCCUGAAAUCCCAGCUGCUUGGGAGGCUGAGGCAGGAGAAUCGCUUGAACCCGGGAGGCAGAGGUUGCAGUGAGCCAAGAUCGAGCCACCGCACUCCAGCUGGGUGAAAGAGUGAGGCUCCAUGUCAAAAAGAAAAAACAAAGCGUAUAGGAAGGGACAGUUCUGAGUCCAACAGGAAGCUCAUCCCAUCUUUGGCCCCUGGGCGAUUAUUCCAGGUCUUCCUUACUUUGUCUUCAGUCUGUUCCCUCAACAAUCGUUUCUGCAGUAUUUAAUGCCCCUCCCACCCACUGAUCCAAGACUGCGUUUAAUUCCUCUUCCACACGACAGCCCUGUGGUUAUCUGCCCCACGAUUUCACUUCCCUAUGAUGAGUUUCUAAUUUUAUGGUAUUAUGAGAAGGCAAAAAAUUCAAAGGACUCAUUUAUUAGACUGACACCUGAGAAACAGGCCCAAACACAGAUAAGCAAAGAAACGGCUUCUCUAAUUGCAUGAAGUUUGGUGAGAGGUUAUUAUUUUAGCAAGACAGGGAUGGCAAGCACUUCGAAAAGUGUGUAUGUAUUUCACAGGCUCUGCAAUAUGUGUGGGAAGCCUGUGUCACGAAGGGAAGGAUGGAUGGCUAGACUUCCACUCUGUAUUCUUAUCCCUUGAAUGCCUUCCUUUUCCCUCCAUUCCUACAUCCUCCAGCCUCUGUCCUUCUCACAAAUCUGGGACCACGCAAUCUAGAGGUAGAGUCUUGUGAUGAGAAUGAAGAUAUUCCCAUCAUUCAUUGGAGCAAGGAUCUAGGAAGUGGAGAGAGGUGCAGGGCAGAAGGAAGGGCGGAUCCAGGUCUCCCAUAGAUGGCCCCAAGCACGGGAGAGCCAAAGAAAUACCUGAGUGACCAUUCAACACAAGCAUUUCCACAUCUAUUUUGAGGGUUGGUGUUCUGAUGCCACAGAAUGAACUUAUUCUUCUGACUUUUCCUUUACAAACUGGGCAUGCCAGCCAAGAACUCCAAAUUCUGGACAGAGAACACGCCUAUUUUUAUAACUGUUUAAUUGCUAUGCUGAAUUUUCUCUUCCCCCCUCCUCAUGCAAUUAGGCAGUUUCAUGCCAAAUCUUAUAGUCCAUUUAACAUUUUUGCAUGUGUGUAAUAUAGUAAGAUUAUUGCUGCACUGUAAAAAUGUCAUUGAUUCAAGGGACUUUUCUUAAUGACUUAGAUUGUAAUAAUCCUCCUUCCCAGACAUAGGCGAAAUAUCCAUUUUCCCUAAUUAAACACACACAUAACCUUCAUAAAUUUUGUAACCUUAAAAUAGGCAUUUGUAAAUUUCAAAGUCAAAUGGCCUUUAUAUCCAUUACUUACUAAGGAAUUCCUCCUUAAUUAUUCACCAAUGAAUAUACACUCAAAAACACAGGCUAACAGCUCAAAUACUACUGAAGCAGAAGUAACAUUGAAUUUGGCAGUCAUUAAAAAUAAUAACUUUAACUUGAUGUUUUUCUAAGUUUUCUCCUUUAAAUCCAAUGUCUUCAAAAAGACUUUCUCGUUAAUGUGUGACAGGCAUGUUAAACACAGGCUGUGCAAAUAUUUGAACAGUAAUAAUAUUGAUUUCUUCCAUGGCAAUUUUCCAUACACAUGGUAGAAGACUACUAGCAAAAGCUCUGAUUUCUACUCUCAUGAUGCUUUGCAAUUACACAGGAAAGUAUUCUUAGCACGUACAACAUAUAUAAUUUUUGGAGAAAAACGUAGUAAUAUCUUAUAUUUUCAUAGCCCAUUUUUCUGAAAAGCUGAAAGAGCUUUUAUGCUUGUCAUUAUUUUAGAGGCUUGGAAAGAAAGAAUGAAUAGGUAGUGUCCUGUUACACAUGAGAGGACACGUGCAGCUAUGUCCCCAUCACUUUUGGGAAAGCUAGUCAACUUGUCAGGACCAUGGGUUUCAUGGGCAAUUCUUUAGUGUGACUAGUGAGUCUGCUGAAUUAACUCCUGCAGUCUUCACCCAGAGUCUCAUAGAGGUGUCUGGAGUGGAAGAAAUGGCAUAGACAGAGGUGAUGCCUCAUCCUUGGGUCUGGACCUUGCUGCCUGUGACUAUAUAUCAAUCGAUAGCAUGGGUGCUAUGGAGAAGGUAAGUGAAAUAGACACUGUGUCUGCUGAAGAUCAUUUGAGGACAUUUCCAUAGCAGCUUGGCUGUCACAGUCUCUCCAGCACGCUUAGCCCAUUCACAGUUUCAGAGCUGUCUCAAGACAGAGUGUGAGCCCCAGCUUUUCUGGGUUGCCAACAACACAGUGCCUUUCCUUCUUACUGUAACCAAGACUUGGUAAAGAAUGGUAUCUAAAUCUGGUUAAAGUAAACUUUGGUGACGGUCUUAAAAAAUAAAAUAUAUAUCCUAGUAGAUAUAUGUCAGGGUAAAAUGAAAAUUAGAACAGGUGAUCUGGAGGUCAAAUGUAGAUCCAGGUAUUGGCCACAGAAUUUUCAUUUUGAAGCUCAAACAGAAAAAGGCAUGCCCUGACUAGUCCUGUGGGUGGGUUUCUGCCCCAAGUCCCUACCCAGUUACUGUUGAUGGGAUAGUGUUAGUUCUUUUUUCAUUUCUUAGAGAUGGGCUCUCGCUAUGCUGCCCUGGCUGGAGGGCAGUGGCUAUUCUCAGGCACAAUCCUACUACUAAUCAGCAUGGGAGUUUUGACCCACUUUAUUUCCAAUGUGGGCCAGUUCAACCCUCCGUAGGCAAGCUGUUGGUCCCCUGCUCCCAGGAGGUCACUAUUAUCCAUGCUGAACUUAGUGUGGCCAUCUCAUCAGCACAGUGCACCACAGCCCAGAACUCCUAGGCUCAAGCGAUCCUCCCACCUCAGCCUCCUGAGUAGCUGGGACAACAGGUGCACCACCUCUCCUGGCAUGUUAGUUCUUUUGAAGAACAAAGGCAAGAGCCUAGUGUCUCUCAUCUAAAGAUAACUGUAGAGAAUUUUUCUGGCAUCCCUUUCCUGGAAGUUUCUUUCUUCUUAUUGCUGCUGAUUCAAAUCCCACUCUUUCAAAGCCCACCCAAGGUUCAUUUAUUCCGUGAAGCUUUUCUUAUACGCAGUCACCUCUAAAUGUUCCUCUACUUGAAUGUAUAAAACCCUUAGUUAGGGAGUACGAGCCAAGUCAUCAAAUUUGCCAAAUGUUGCACUACAACUAUUUUUACGGGGUCUUGUGAGCCUUUUUUACUUCCCUGAUACAAUUUAUACUUUUAGGUAAGAAAUAUCUUCCUACUUACCUUAAAUUUUUCUGAGAAUCAAAAACAGUAGUUUCCCUGGGAUUAAGUUCAUACUUGCAGAGAAAAUGAACUUACAAGAGAAUCUAGAACAACCACUGCGUAGCCAGGUAGUCAAACUAUUUUAUAUUCAUACUUUUAACAACAUUUAAACAGAAUCUUCUAAAUCAUUUAAGAACUAGCUCUGAAAGAGGACACUGUAUACUUUCAGAUUUUUUUUUUUCUGUAAAACACUUCUGGGAGAACUCAAAGCAUGGUGGGGUAUACUGCUUUUGUUCCAAUUACAUUAAACCUUAUUAAAAUCGCCAUAAUGACAACAACAUCUCUUCAGAAGGGUGUGCCAAAUACUUAGGGGGCUUAGUCUCACCAAGACGUUCUGGGAUUUGGUUACCUAAUGCCUAUUAGUGAUAAUAAGUAUUACGUCUAUAAAUCCCUGGGUGCUUGUAUCAAUCCUAUCUGUUUUAGUUUCCACAGGUGGAGUGAUAGCUCUAAUGAGGUCCACGUCGUCACGAUUCCUGUUUAGAGAAAUAAAAUGUUUAGAUCUCAACUUUCCUGCCAUUCCCUGGUGGUGUUAUAUAUAAGGGUGACAUUUACGCAUUUCAAAUUGUUCCUUGAAGAAUAGCGAUUCAUUAUCUUUUAAAGAAAUUUGCUCCACAUCAUGUUUCAAUCCAACUGACAUUAGCGUAUGUUAGAGACACAGACGAAUGGGGCCACCAAGGCACGAGGGGAUGACUGACCCUGGUUAAUCCAAACCACAGGAUGGACAAAGUAUGAAUUUCAGUCGUCAGAUGAUUAACUCUGGUCCUUGGGUCACAACCUUGCCUGUCAGUAACUCACUCCUAAACUUCUUCAGGAAAAUAAAGAAACUUGAACAUGCCACUUUUAAAGUCAAACUCAGUGCCAUUAUGAUAGACCCUGUAUUCUUGCAAAGUUUCUUGGAGGAAUCUGAUUUCCAGCUGUUGUUCAAUUAGUUUCAUAUCAGUCAAUCCUUGUUUAAAAACAUGUCAUAAGGCUCUGUGGCUUGUGCACGCUUCAGUUACCUCCGAUUAUUACAUCAAGAUUCACAAACGAGAUACCAGAGUCACUUCUAUUUAUUGGGAAAUGCUAUUGAAACAAACUGAAAUUCAAGUUCAGAAGAGAUUGCAAUAACCCGUCAAAACAUCCAAGGAGAGAGGAAGUUGGGCCUCAAGGUGCAUGGGGCCAUUGUUAAAUGCAAGACAGCAUCUCACCUAAUAAUUUAAACAUGGUCUCGUGGCCUGACAUUUUUAAUGCUUCCUUGAUCUCAUUCUUCUAUCCCUACAUGUUCUUUGCCACUGUAGGGGGCAGUGCAUAGUGGGUUAUGGAUUAAAUACCAAGCCUUAUUCUGCCAAUAGCACUUUUAGGAUGGGAAAAAUCACUGGGUACUUUUAUAAAUAGUCACGCUGUAGGUGUCCACAGAAAGCCACCUUUAUUCAGGGCUUUUAAAAGCUGCCUGCUUUUUAGACACAAACCAAUCCAUAAAACUACCAAGUUGAAAUUGUCAGCUAUUAUCUGGGCAGUAAGUCUCAGGCCCCUCGGCAGGCUGAUUUGAAGUUUUUUGUCAGCGCAAAUUAGGAUCCUGGGUUUAACGAAUACAAUCUGGGUCUAAAAAUUAAUUUAACUUGCCCAAUCCCCAUGAUACACAGCCCGGGGUUCGCAUUUGCUUUGUGACUCACUGCAUUUGAAUUAAACUAGAGGGCUAAGAAUGUUAUGCCGGAAGCAGCUCUGAUUCUGAAGAACAGAAACAAACACAUAUUUCUCCCAUCAUCUGCUGCUUCAGGGCAAGAAAAAGAAAGCCACUGUAACUUGGAGACAAGACUUUUCCAGACAACUCUGAACAGCAGCAACCACAGCACAAUACUAAACAGAAGUGUGUUGUGGAAUCCUGGACUUCAGUGAGAAAUUAGUAGGAGCAAAUACACAAUUUUUCAUAGAUAUGGUGUUGGCAUGAAUUCUUGACGUAAACUCAAAGGAACUGCAAACUUGUCUGUAAAUGAACAUUUAAAACACAGAUUGUGAAGUGGUUUUUUGGGAGCAGAGAAUCAGUUAAAUGAAGGAAAAUUUAGAAGCGUCAUAGACCUGGAAAUAAACUAGAAAAUUGUCUGUUUCAAUAUCCUUAUUUUCAAAUAUGGAAGCUGAGGCCCUAAGAGAUUGGGUUACCCAAGAUUACAGAGUUAGGUUUUUUUGUUUGUUUUAUUUUUUGUUUUGUUUCUCUGAGGCAGGGCCCCAAUCUGUCACCCAGGCUGGAGUGCAGUGAUGCAAUAUAGGCUCACUGUAGCCUCGACAUCCUGGGGUCAGGUGAUCCUCCCACCUCAGCCUCCCAAGUGGCUGAGACUAUAGGUGCAUGCCACCAUACCUGGCUAAUUUUCUGUAGAGAUGGGUUUUUGCUAUGUUGUCCAGACUGGUUUCGAACUCUUGGGCUCAAGUAAUCCACCCGCCUCAGCCUCCCAAAGUGCUGGGAUUACAGGCAUGAGCCACUGUGCCCAGCCCACAGAGUUAGUUGUGACAUCAAAAAACCCAGGUCUUCUGACUCCCAUCUUGUACUUUUCCACAAACUUCUCAAACAGGAUUUCCCACUAGGGGAGGGAUAGCAUUAGGAGAAAUACCUAAUGUAGAUGACGGGUGAUGGAUGCAGCCAACCACCACGGCACGUGUACACCUAUGUAACAAACCUGCAUGUUCUGCACAUGUCCCCAAAACUUAAAGUAUAAAAAAAAAGAAUGCAAAUCCUCUCUGGCAAUUUAUUUUUUUCCCACUUGUUCUAGGAGAGCAAAAUUCUACAAUGUCAAACUCCUGAUUGUAGGCUUUCUUAUCUUUCUAGCAUAUUUUCAACAGUAAAGAAAGUAAUUUUUAAAAUCUUCACUCAAAAAAUAUAUAUGCAUUUUCAAGGGUUCUGAUGGUCUUGGUUCAUGUUUAAUUCCAAGUAUAGGUAGAGAGGUAAGUAAGUUUUCUAUGUAUAGACCACAUGUUGACCUUGACACUGAAGCCCAGCAGGCGAAAGAGGGCAUCUGAGCAUUUUGGUGGCAAUCCUAACAUAGGGCUUGAAAGGUCCUUAAGAGUUUAUUUGUCCAACUUAAUCCAGUUCCAGCAGAUGAGUAUAUUUGUGUCUGUCCUGGUUUUUAUAAAAACCAUCAAUGACCAUGGCUGAUGCACGUAAUUCCAGCCCUUUGGGAGGCCGAGGCGGGCAGAUCACAUGAAGUCAGGAGUUCGAGACCAGCCUGGCCAAUGUGGCGAAACCCCGUCUCUACUAAAAAUACAAAAAUUAGCCAGGAGUGGUGGUGCAUACCUGUAAUCCCAGCUACUCUGGGGCUGAGUCUGGAGAAUCACUUGAACCUGGGAGGCGGAGGUUGCAGUGAGCCGAGACUGCGCCAUUGCAUUCUAGCCUAGGCAACAGGGUGAGACUUGGACUCAAAAACAAAAACCCGCCAACGAAAAUAAUUUCACAGCUUCCCUAUGAACUCAUUUCUGUAGUCCAUACCCCCUACCUUCAAGAAAAUUUUAGAAGACAGAGUUCCAAUUUGUCUUGUUUCAGUUUGAGUUCAUGAACACUAAAAUAAUAAAAUCUAUUUUUAUCUGGAA